rnacentral:rRNA from 1 species
AGUGAACGCUGGCGGUAGGCCUAACACAUGCAAGUCGAACGGCAGCACAGGAGAGCCUGCUCUCUAGGUGGCGAGUGGCGGACGGGUGAGGAAUACAUCGGAAUCUGCCCAGUCGUGGGGGAUAACGUAGGGAAACUUACGCUAAUACCGCAUACGACCUUCGGGUGAAAGAGGGGGAUCGCAAGACCUCUCGCGAUUGGAUGAGCCGAUGUCGGAUUAGCUAGUUAGCGGGGUAAUGGCCCACCAAGGCGACGAUCCGUAGCUGGUCUGAGAGGAUGAUCAGCCACACUGGAACUGAGACACGGUCCAGACUCCUACGGGAGGCAGCAGUGGGGAAUAUUGGACAAUGGGCGCAGGCCUGAUCCAGCCAUACCGCGUGGGUGAAGAAGGCCUUCGGGUUGUAAAGCCCUUUUGUUGGGAAAGAAAUCUUUCAGGCUAAUACCCUGGGAGGAUGACGGUACCCAAAGAAUAAGCACCGGCUAACUUCGUG